UGUAAGGCUGAUGCGUAGGCAAAUCCGCGCAUCGAUAAGGCUGAGCUGUGAUGGGGAGGGAAACUUUAAGUACCGAAGGUCAUGAUUUCAUGCUUCCAAGAAAAGCCUCUAGCCAGGAGAAGGUGCCCGUACCGCAAACCGACACAGGUGGGCGAGAAGAGAAUUCUAAGGCGCGCGGAACAACUCUCGUUAAGGAACUCGGCAAAAUGACCCCGUAACUUCGGGAGAAGGGGUGCCUCGGUAGGGUGAAUAGCCCGAGGGGGCCGCAGUGAAAAGGCCCAAGCGACUGUUUAGCAAAAACACAGGUCUAUGCGAAGCCGUAAGGCGAAGUAUAUGGGCUGACGCCUGCCCGGUGCUGGAAGGUUAAGGGGAGCGGUUAGGGGUAACCCGAAGCUGUGAACCGAAGCCCCAGUAAACGGCGGCCGUAACGAUAACGGUCCUAAGGUAGCGAAAUUCCUUGUCAGGUAAAUUCUGACCCGCACGAAUGGCGUAACGACUUGGGCGCUGUCUCAACGAGAGAUCCGGUGAAAUUUUAAUACCUGUGAAGAUGCAGGUUACCCGCGACAAGACGGAAAGACCCCAUGGAGCUUUACUGCUGCUUGAUAUUGGACUUUGGUACGAUCUGUACAGGAUAGGUGGGAGCCUUUGAAGCCUGAGCGCCAGCUUAGGUGGAGGCGCCGUUGGGAUACCACCCUGAUCGUAUCGGAGUUCUAACUUGGUACCGUGAUCCGGUAUGAGGACAGUGUCAGGUGGGCAGUUUGACUGGGGCGGUCGCCUCCUAAAGCGUAACGGAGGCGCCCCAAGGUUCCCUCAGAAUGGUUGGAAAUCAUUCGAAGAGUGCAAAGGCAUAAGGGAGCUUGACUGCGAGACAAACAGGUCGAGCAGGGACGAAAGUCGGGCUUAGUGAUCCGGUGGUACCGAAUGGAAGGGCCAUCGCUCAACGGAUAAAAGCUACCCUGGGGAUAACAGGCUUAUCUCCCCCAAGAGUCCACAUCGACGGGGAGGUUUGGCACCUCGAUGUCGGCUCAUCGCAUCCUGGGGCUGAAGUAGGUCCCAAGGGUUGGGCUGUUCGCCCAUUAAAGCGGUACGCGAGCUGGGUUCAGAACGUCGUGAGACAGUUCGGUCCCUAUCUGUCGUGGGCGUAGGAAAUUUGAGAGGAGCUGUCCUUAGUACGAGAGGACCGGGAUGGACGUACCGCUGGUGUACCAGUUGUCUCGCCAGAGGCAUAGCUGGGUAGCUAUGUACGGAGGGGAUAAGCGCUGAAAGCAUCUAAGCGUGAAGCCCCCCUCAAGAUGAGAUUUCCCAAUUAGUAAGACCCCUUGUAGACGACGAGGUUGAUAGGUUCGAGGUGGAAGUGCGGUAACGCAUGCAGCUGACGAAUACUAAUCGGUCGAGGGCUUAUCC
rnacentral:rRNA from 1 species